AGAGUGAACGCUGGCGGCAGGCCUAACACAUGCAAGUCGAACGGCAGCACAGAGGAGCUUGCUCCUUGGGUGGCGAGUGGCGGACGGGGUGAGGGAAUACAUCGGGAUCUGCCUUAUCGUGGGGGGAUAACGUAGGGAAACUUACGCUAAUACCGCAUACGACCUACGGGUGAAAGCGGAGACCUUCGGGCUUCGCGCGAUAAGAUGAGCCGAUGUCGGAUUAGCUAGUUGGCGGGGUGAAGGCCCACCAAGGCGACGAUCCGUAGCGUGGUCUGAGAGGAGUGAUCACGCCACACUGGAACUGAGACACGGUCAGACUCCGUACGGGAGCAGCAGUAGGGGAAUAUUGGACAAGUGGGC
rnacentral:rRNA from 1 species